AAGUCGUAACAAGGUAUCCGUAGGUGAACCUGCGGAUGGAUCAUUAACAAAAAGUGAAUCAUCAGAUAUUUUGGUGGAUCUUGUCGCCUGGGAAACGGUUGAGAUUCAUUUUCUGUUGAAGCACUAUAAUCCAUUCAGGCGUCGUAUGAAAACGUUCGGCGCACCUUCCCCUUUCUCGGAGUCUGAUAUUACUAUUAGCACUCUGGGGAUGAACAUUAAUGUGUUUAUUGUAUUAUACAGGUUUGUAUUGUAUAGUAGACACAUCCCUGACUCUUCACAGAGUCAACACUACAUGUUGUUUUGGUGCAUUCGUGCCAACAAUAGUUUAUUUGUCAUAGCGACUAGAAAUUUUAUGUUGAAUUAAACCAAUACAACUGUUAGCAACGGAUCACUCGGCUCUG
rnacentral:misc_RNA from 1 species